AGAGUUUGAUCCUGGCUCAGGACGAACGCUGGCGGCGUGCUUUAUACAUGCAAGUCGAACGAUGAAGUUCCUUCGGGAAUGGAUUAGUGGCGAACGGGUGAGGAACACGUGAGAAACCUGCCUUUCAUUCUGGGAUAACACCGGGAAACCGGUGCUAAUACCGGAUACUCCAUCUUGGCGGCAUCGCCGAGCUGGGAAAAAAUUUUGAUGAAAGAUGGUCUCGCGGCCUAUCAGCUAGUUGGUGAGGUAAAGGCUCACCAAGGCGACGACGGGUAGCCGGCCUGAGAGGGCGACCGGCCACACUGGGACUGAGACACGGCCCAGACUCCUACGGGAGGCAGCAGUAGGGAAUAUUGGGCAAUGGGCGAAAGCCUGACCCAGCGACGCCGCGUGAGGGAUGAAGGUCUUCGGAUUGUAAACCUCUUUCAGUAGGGAAGAAGCGAAAGUGACGGUACCUAAAGAAGAAGCACCGGCUAACUAUGUGCCAGCAGCCGCGGUAAUACAUAGGGUGCAAGCGUUGUCCGGAAUUAUUGGGCGUAAAGAGCUCGUAGGUCGUUUGUCGCGUCGAUUGUGAAAAUCUGAGGCUCAACCUCAGACCUGCAGUCGAUACGGGCAAACUAGAGUGUGGUAGGGGAGACUGGAAUUCCUGGUGUAGCGGUGGAAUGCGCAGAUAUCAGGAGGAACACCAAUGGCGAAGGCAGGUCUCUGGGCCAUAACUGACACUGAGGAGCGAAAGUGCGGGGAGCGAACAGGAUUAGAUACCCUGGUAGUCCGCACCGUAAACGGUGGGCACUAGUUGUGGGAACCUUCCACGGUUUCCGCGACGCAGCAAACGCAUUAAGUGCCCCGCCUGGGGAGUACGAUCGCAAGAUUAAAACUCAAAGGAAUUGACGG
rnacentral:rRNA from 2 species